AUGGCGCCUUCAGAAAAGAACCUCUGUGCGAUCAUGCUCCUCAUUGUCAUCGUGGCCGCCGUAUGUCCACUGUGUUCAAUGGCAUUUGCAUGCGCCGAGCCGAGUAAUUGCCGGCACCUGAGCGGCAAUUAUAGAGGACCGUGCUUUGGCUUUACCGACGGUUGCGAUACUACAUGCGAAGAUGAAAGCUCCGCUAACAGGUGGGGCGAGUGUGACUGUGACUUUAAAUGCUACUGCUAUACAUGCUAG
rnacentral:rRNA from 1 species